GCUCACCGUGGCGAAAUUGGUAGACGCAAGGGCGGGCCGUUCCCCCUCGUUGCACGUCACGGCCUCCAGCCUCGCGACAAGAUCGCGGGCUAUAGAAGGCGAAACACGUAUUGCAGGUUCGAAUCCUGCCGGUGAGCA
rnacentral:tRNA from 1 species